CCCAGAUGACAUGGGGUCACGUGAACCACUAUGAAGAUGUGGCUUUCCUCCGAGUGAGGACUCAAAAGAGGAGUGCCAGAACCAGAUUCACACUCUGAAGGAUGACUUUGCCUGUGGGUUUUUUGAUAGCACUGGGGGCAAGGGUGGAUGCAGGGAGCACAGGAGGGGAGGAAUUGUAAUAAUUCAGUCAAGAGACAAAAGUUGGCUUGGACCACAGUGGUAGCAGAGGAGGUUGUCAGAUUUGGAUAAAUACGAGAGCAAGGCCAAACCAACAGGAUUCCUUUAUGGGAUUAGAUCUUCCAGAGAUGACAACCUCUUUUUUGGUUCCUGUCCCUGGAAAUAGACCCAGGUGACUGAAGUUAUCAUGUUAACCUCGGAUUCCCUGACCUAGCCCUGAUUGAAGCCAGAUGAAUGCCUGGACUUUCCAAGCCACACUGACCAGUAACUCCCAACUCCCUCCUUCUCUUCCUUCUUUCUUUAUUAUUGAGUUUGAGUUGGUAUCUGACACUUGAAAUCCCCAAAUUCCUAAGUAAACUAGUAGGAAACUUUGAAAAUGAAAA